rnacentral:lncRNA from 1 species
AUGAGUACUACAUUCUUUGACAAUUAUAUGGCAGCUGAAGAAGUAGGGGCAUUGAGGAAUGAAGGAUACCUCCAAAUUUUUAUAUUAAUAGGUACUGUCAUUUUUGUACUCCUCAAUACUAUAUUUAGAGAUGAAAAAAUAAAAAAUAUUGAGGAUAAAAUAAAACAAAAUGAGGAUAAAAUAAAACAAAAUAAGGAUAAAAUAAAACAAAAUGAGGAUAAAAUAAAACAAAAUGAGGAUAAAAUAGAAAAUAUUGAGGAUAAAAUAGAAAAUGUUGAGGAUAAAAUAGAAAAAAAUGAGGAUAAAAUAGAAAAAAUUGAGGAUACAAUAGAAAAUAUUGAGGAUACAAUAGAAAAAAUUGAGGAUAAAAUAGAAAAAAUUGAGGAUACAAUAGAAAAAAUUGAGGAUACAAUAGAAAAAAUUGAGGAUAAAAUAGGAAAUAUUGAGAAUAAAAUAGAAAAACUUGAGGAUAAAAUAGGAAAUAUUGAGAAUAAAAUAGGAAAUAUUGAGGAUAAAAUGGGAGAUAUGGAAGAUAAAAUAGGAAAAAUUGAGGAAAAAAUGCAAGCCCAAUUAGAAGAUCUAAAAUGUUUCUUACAGGAUCAAUGGGCAAACACCCACUCUACCAGAAACAGACCUGUUUCUGAACCUUUGAAUGAGGAAAUUUCCUUCCCUGAAAUAGAGAUGGAAAACACCUUCCCUAUAGCCCAGUUAACAGACUGCUUCUCUCGUGCAGUGCAAAUCUUGUCUGAAUUUAAUCCCCAAAACCCUUCCCCUGCAAUCCCAGCUUCUCAUGUUCCUUCUCCUACAGAAAACCAAAUUCCAAUGCAAGGGAGAUCUUGUCCUCCUAGAGAAACCUGUCCUUGUCAAACUGACCCACAGGUGCAAAAUUCAACUAGAGGCCUGUUUCCUCUAAGAGAAGUACCUGAAAUAGGACGAAAUGGGGAUGUGGUGACUUUAAGACAUAGGAUACCGUUUACUCCCCAAGAAAUAAAUGAAUUUACACGAAAUAUCCCCACAUAUGAACAAGAUCCUUUUCUAGUAACAAAAAAGAUGGGAGACAUAUUUUUUCAAUAUAAUCCGUCUUACAAGGACGUUGAGAGCUUACUACAGGCUUUUUUAAGUGAACGUGAAAAAAAUAAAAUAAUUGCUCAUGUCAACAAAACCCGGGGGCGUAAUGCAGCACAUUGGCCAUCUCAGGAUCCCGAAUGGGACUAUAAUAAUCCUGAGGACUAUCUACAACUAUACCGUUGUAGAGAGGCCAUCCUCACGGCCAUGAAGGAAUGUGCGGACAGUACAGAUAAGUGG